GGGCAAAAAUGAGUACUUUAUAUUGACUUGAGGAGUGGUGAUGACUCAAAUAUCAAGUACAGUGACAUGACGCUGAAGCCC
ensembl:snoRNA SNORD115 Small nucleolar RNA SNORD115